rnacentral:lncRNA from 1 species
CGCAUCCUCGUAUCGCUCCUUCUUAUAGCUGACGAUCCCUAUAUUAACUUGUCCGUUGACGUGACCCUUCGCAGCCGCCUUCUCGUACCAUUCCAUCGCCGUGUCGAGGUUUAGCUCCACGCCGUUGCCUAAUUGGUAACAAUGUCCGAGCCUGAGUUCCGCGUCAGCAAUACCUUGGUCGGCCGCUUUCGUGAACCACGUCACCGCCUCCUCGUAUCGCUCCUUCUUGUGGUUGACGAUCCCAAUACCAACUUGUGCGCCGGCGUGACCCUUCGCGGCCGCCUUCUCGUACCAUUCCAACGCCGUGUCGAGGUUUAUCUCCACGCCGUUGCCGAAUCGAUAGCAGUCCCCGAGGACGAAUUCCGCAUUACUUUCACCUUGGUCGGCCGCUUUCGUGAACCACGUCACCGCCUCCUCGUAUCGCUCCUUCGUAUAAUUAACGACCCCUAUACCAAACUGUCCAUCGGCGUGACCCUUCGCAGCCGCCUUCUCGAACCAUGCCAACGCCGUGUCGAGGUUUUGCUCCACGCCGUUGCCGAAUUGGUAACAACGUCCGAGCCAGCUUUCCGCUUCAGUGUCGUGUUGGUCGGCCGCUUUCGUGAACCACGUCACCGCAUCCUCGUAUCGCUCCUUCGUAUAGCUGACGACCCCAAUACCAACUUGUGCGCCGGUGUGACCCUUCGCAGCCGCCUUCUCGAACCAUGCCAACGCCGUGUCGAGGUUUAGCUCCACGCCGUUGCCGAAUUGGUAACAAUAUCCGAGCCUGUGUUCCGCUUCAGCAUCACCUUGGUCGGCCGCUUUCGUGAACCACGUCACCGCAUCCUCGUAUCGCUCCUUCGUAUAAUUGACGUCCCCUAUACCAACUUGUGCGCCGGCGUGACCCUUCGCAGCCGCCUUCUCGAACCAUUCCAACGCCGUGUCGAG